rnacentral:rRNA from 1 species
GGCGUGUAUAACCUACAUAUAAGACUGGGAUAACUUCAAGGAAACCGGAUCUAAUACCCGAUAAUAUAUUGAACCGCAUGGUUCAAUAGUGAAAGACGGUUUUGCUGUCACUUAUAGAUGGAUCCGCGCCGCAUUAGGUAGUUGGUAAGGUAACGGCUUACCAAGGCGACGAUGCGAAGCCGACCUGAGAGGGUGAUCGGCCACACUGGAACUGAGACACGGUCCAGACUCAUACGGGAGGAAGCAUGAAGGAAUCUUCCACAAUGGGCGAAAGCCUGACGGAUGAACGCAGCAUGAGUGAUGAAUGUCUUCGGAUCGUAAAAAUCUGUUAUUAGGGAAGAACAAAUGUGUAAAUAACUAUGCACGUCUUGACGGUACCUAAUCAGAAAGCCAU